rnacentral:lncRNA from 1 species
AAAAAUAAAAAUCACACCGAGAUUUACGUAGGAAAACUCCAACUUGGAGUAAAAAACCCACGCGACCAACAUGCGAAAAAAUAAUUCACUAAGAGAAAAGAUUACAAGGUGAUUACCGACUCCACGGACUCGACCUCUCUUAACCUCUUACGAAUCUCGCGCAAUCCUCCGGGUUAUCCACGCCCUCACGUUCGAAUCCACGAACGCCACGUUCCAAAUCCACGAAACGCCUCCAGUCCGAAUCCAUGAAGCUCACGAUCCGAAUCCACGAACCGCCGUCAAUCACGCCGAAUCCACGACGCCAUCCAUAAAAACAUCAUGCUAU